GAUGAACGCUAGCGGCAGGCCUAACACAUGCAGGUCGAGGGGCAGCACAGAAACAGCAAUGUUUUGGUGGCGACCGGCGGACGGGUGCGUAACGCGUAUGCAACCUACCUUUAACAGGGGGAUAACGGAGAGAAAUUUCCACUAAUACCCCAUAACAUCGAUCAAGGCAUCUUGAUUGUUUGAAAACUCCGGUGGUUAAAGAUGGGCAUGCGCUGUAUUAGGUAGUUGGUGAGGUAAUGGCUCACCAAGCCUACGAUACAUAGGGGGACUGAGAGGUUAGCCCCCCACACUGGUACUGAGACACGGACCAGACUCCUACGGGAGGCAGCAGUGAGGAAUAUUGGUCAAUGGGGGCAACCCUGAACCAGCCAUGCCGCGUGCAGGAAGACGGCUCUAUGAGUUGUAAACUGCUUUUAAACAGGGAUAAAGCACAGUAUGUAUACUGUGUUGAAGGUACUGUAAGAAUAAGGAUCGGCUAACUCCGUGCCAGCCGCCGCAGUAA
rnacentral:rRNA from 1 species